GGUGACGUCAUCGGAAGGCAUCUUUGAUGACCAUAGGGUGGGGACCUUCGGGCCUAUCGGCCUGGGAGCGGCCUAUUUCCUAUCAGCUAGUUGGUGAGGUAACGGCUCACCAAGGCAACGACGGGUAGCCGGACUGAGAGGUUGGCCGGUCACAUCGGGACUGAGACACUGCCCGGACAUCUACGGAUGGCUGCAGUAACGAAUAUUCCGCAAUGGGCGAAAGCCUGACGGAGCGACGCCGCGUGGAGGACGAAUUCCUUCGGGAUGUAAACUCCUUUUAGGGAUCUGAAAUCGAGGCGCACUAAUACUGCGCCGAGUUGAUCUAUCCCAGAAAAAGCCUCGGCUAAACCCGUGCCAGCAGCCGCGGUAAUACGGGUGAGGCAAGCGUUGUUCGGAAUCACUGGGCUUAAAGCGCGUGUAGGCGGCUUGGUAAGUAUCUUGUGAAAUCCCUUCUCUCAAUGAAGGAACUGCGAGGUAUACUGCCGGGCUUGAGGUAGGUAGGGGUGCCUGGAACUCUAGGUGGAGCGGUGAAAUGCGUAGAUAUCUAGAGGAACGCCCGUGGCGAAAGCGGGGCACUGGGCCUUACCUGACGCUGAGACGCGAAAGCGUGGGUAGCAAACGGGAUUAGAUACCCUGGUAGUC
rnacentral:rRNA from 1 species